UCUGUUUAUUGAUCAACUAUAAAAUAUCGAGUCACUAAAACAAUUCUUAAAAGAAACACUGAUAGACGUGGUUGCAGUCUGUAAAAAAAGAAAGAAAACAUCCACAGCAGGUAUAGAGGGACAGAAUACAUCUGGUUACAGAUUCAUCUCUAAAAUGUUCUUUUUGCAUUUUUACAAGAUUAGACAUGUGUACAAAGUAUAUUCUGAUAGAUUUUUCUCCACUAGGCUGUGAAGGAUCAUUUACAAAACAUAGAUAAUUUUUCUAUUUAUUUUCAAAAUAAUCUUUUUUUUUUUUCUGUAACAGGACAAUAACGAUACUGAAGGAACAGCAGACGAAGAACCAGCCUCCAGUCCACCUCUCUCUCUCUCUCUGUGUCUCUCUGUCUCUCUCUCUCUCAGUCUCUGUCUGUCUGUCUCUCUGUCUCUCUCUCUCUCUCUCUCUCUCUCUAGCAGCUAGCUGCAGGGCCCGUCAGUACUACAACUGAACAGGCACUGGCGUGGACAAUUGUUCAGGGAGGGAAAGCAAGGGGAAAACAAAAAAAAGAAAACAUGCCAAAAAAAAUCAGCAAAAACAAACAUUUAAAAGAGAAGCCAAAGCAAAACGGACAGUGAAGAAAAAAACGACGUAUGCAAUAACUCAGGCUCUUAAACGUAUGACCCCAAAUGAAAAUGAAGGCAUACGGUUGGGCUUUAGAUGGAGAUAUGGGGGCAAAUAGAGAUUGGAAGGCAAUAACACGCACACCUAAAAGGGCUACAGGUGUGUGCAAAUACCAGAGGAUAAAAGUCUCACUCACUGAGAGAAAAGGUGCUUUAGCAGCUCGGGGGUAAACAAACAUUCAUAACGGGCUGGGCUCCGCCAACCGGUGCAACCUGCGUACAGCCGGGACGCCAGGCCCAGAUCCAUUUUGGUCAACUGUCACUCAAACCCUUUUGUCUGCAGAAAUGAGAGUGUCGGGCUGAAGGGGCGGGCUUACCAGCAGCAGGCGGGCCUUAAGCGGAUAAGAUUUUGUGACAUCAAUCAACGGGGUAAUUUCAGAAAACUUAUUGUCACUCCGUACCUUGUUACACCACUUUCAAUACUAGCAGCACAUUUAUCAAACGCUUCUGUUGCCUCUGAAGUUCUACUAUUACUGGCAGACUUCUUUUGUCGCUUAGUACGUGACAUGAACAACAUUAACAUCUCCAGGUAUCACGCAGCCGUCUCAGAGAAAAUAUAUAUGAUAUAACCGAUAUAACAAUUCAGACAAAGGACCUCAAAAGAGUAGAAAAUAUUAAACCUAUUGAAUAUCAACAAGACAAUCUUCAAUCUCUGCAGCAAAGCUGAGAGAGGGCAACGUGGUAAAAAAAACACAAGAGCAUCAACAGAACCACAGAUAUACUAUAUGUAUAUAAAUAUAUACGGCAUUCUAUAUACUGCGCAUAGAUCUGAUACAACUCCACACACAAUAGUGUAACAAAGUCGGUUAAAAUUUAAAUUGUAAAUCGCAUAGAACAGAUGUUUCUGGGGGGGGGGCACCAAUUUCAUUUGAUUGGGGGCAGAAGGGGGCGGAACAUUAGCAACGUUUUGGCGAAUCAUCAUAAGGCCUGGGAGAGGAAGGCCGCCCAAAAGCUCACAACCAUGAGCACGACAUUCAACUGACUCCCCCUAAAAUACGGUUAAACUAGGCACGUGGAAGGGAGGGGAGGAGGGGAGGAGGGGGGGAGAAAUACUCUCGGAGGACUCCG
ensembl:lncRNA